AAACUUUUUGCAAAUAGGGAUAGAUUUGUUGAGGGGAGCUGACCAUUCAGCUUUCAUUUGCUUUAAUUUGUCAUGGCGUUCGAUCCUACUUCCCAGUCACCUUGUCAUCGUUUGGAUGUUUUUUCUGGUACUGCCUCUUGUUCAAUUCCUGGAAAACGGGGAUGGCAAUUUUUCGCGGAUGCGCGGAAAUCUGCCGUUUUAUUUCUUAAAUUGAUCAUUUUUGUGAAUCGUCUAAAUCCGCUGAAAAUUUUGGGGGGGUCAGGUACCUUAUCGUCGUGUUUUCAAGAGCAUCUUCCGAUUGUAAACAGCCCUGCGAAUGGACGUGUAUGAUGUCUUACUUGCUGUGAUUGGUCACCCCGUCCAGGCCAAGCUCCUUUCCGCUUUUUUCAUCACUAGCCAUUGCCAUCCCUGGGAAAACAGCCACAGUCUCCACAGCAAAUUAUGCAGACACAGUUGUCAUUUCAAGUCACAUUUAUUUAUAUAGCGCUGAAUCACAAACUGUCUCAAAGGGCUUCGCCUUGAGAAGGGGCCGCAGAUGGGAGAAUCCCUCUUCCAGAAUAACCAGGCUGCAAUGGGUGCCGGGUGGGACAGACAUGGGUCCCCCCUCUGAACCUGGCCAAGUUGGUUGAGGAAGAAAACGUCAUAGCAGCGCCUAUGAAGAUGUGGUGGUUGACCUAGCUCUUGCCCAGCUCAGUCGUUGCAAAUCAUGUCCAUAUUGAUCGGAGUAGAAUCUGUUCAGCAGCAUCCAAUUAGGACAUCAUCACCUAGCCCCUUCUCCAGAUCAGGGAGGAAGGAGAAGGACUAACAGAAGAAGCGGGAGGACAACAUACAGUUUAAGAAAAUUAAGAUUAAGAUAUCCUUUAUUUGUCCCACACUGGGGAAAUUUACAGUCUACCGCAGCAAGAUUGUGGGUAGAAAGAAGAAAGAAGAAAAAAAGACACCGUUCAAUUAAGUGCAAUAUAAAUACAAAUAUGGAUAAGGUCACAGUGCUAUUUACAAUUGUUUUUCACAUUUAAUUAAUUACUUUUUUUUAAAUUCAGCAGCUGACAGCAGUCGGUAGGAACGAGCGGUGGUAUCUCUCCUUCUUGCAUGUAAGAGUACACAAAUGCGUCUGAAGUUGGGUUUUAAACAUUCCAACUGAGGUAGCUUCUCUAGUGUCCGUGGGUCGGGCAUCCCGAAUAGAAAACGGUCCAUGAAAUGCAGUCUUCUUUUUGGCUCUCAUAAUAACGAAAGGAUCAGCCUGUUGUGAACGAAGAGUUCGGGGUGGAAAAUCUGGUGUCACUAAGUCAACGAGAUAUGAAAGUUCCAAGCUGUGUAAUAUUUUAUUAUUAAGUCGCAAAACCUUGAAAUUGCUUCUCAAAUGGAUCGGAGUAAUGUGAUCGUACUUCCUUGUACUCGACAGGAGUCUAGCUGCAGCUUUUUGUACUCACUGCAAGUACUCACUGUACAUGGGAAGAUCAGAGAGCACUACUUUGCAAUAAUUGAGGAGGGAUGUAACAAACGCAUGAAUUAUGAUAUCUUACCGAUAUUGCGAAGGUGAAAAAUCCCUGCAGUUCUAGUGUUAUUCUUAAUGUGCAUUUGAAAAGAGAAUGUUGAAUCAAAUAUAACAGACUUUUUUUUUUUUUUGCUGAAUCACUUUAUAAUAAUAGUCAUUUCUCGAGUCUGAGAGUAGUGUCCUUGAAUAGGUGCUGAUGCUGAUCAUCAUCAUCUCAGUUUUACCGGGUUUAGAAGCAAAAAAAAUAAAUAAAGAAAAAAGAGGUCAUGCAUAGUUUAAUCUCACCAAGGCAUGCCUCGAGAUUACAGCAGCUGCUCCGGUUAGUUAUUUCUAACGGCAUAUAUAAGAUAAGACAAACUUUAUUUGUCCCACACUGGGGAAAUUUGCAGUCUACAGCAGCAAAAUUGGAAGGGUGGGGGCAGAGAAAAAAUAGUGUUUCAUUGCACAAAAUAAAGAACUGUACACAGUUCAAUAUAAGUGCAAUCUAAAAUAAAGCAUUAGCAAUAUAUUUGUAGAAUAGUUGGGCAUUAUCAGCAUAAUACUGCUAACACAAGUUAUAUUUCCCUAUACCACCGAGAGGAAGCAUGUAGAUGCUGAACAAGAGAGGGCCAAGUACCGAUCCCUGUGGGACUCCACAUGUAACAUUACAAAACUCAGAAGUCAUGUUACAUGAAUUACGCAGUGCGUCCUCUCUGAGAGGUAAGAACUAAACCAGUGAAGAUGUGAGCCUGAAAUACCAACACUUUCUGAGGCGUUCCAAUAGUAUGUUAUGAUCGACGGUGUCAAAGGCAGCACUAAGAUUGAGUCAUAAUAAUGUUGAUGAGGUGUCAGAGUCCAUCGUGAGAUCAUUGGUCACUUUAGCAAAGGCCAUUGCAGUAGAAUGGUCGGCAUUAAACCCUGACUGAAACGGCUCAAAUCGAUUGUUAGUGGCCAUGUAAUCAGUAAGCUGCUGCGCAAAUACUUAUUCAAGAUUUGUUUUCAAUAAACUGGAGAUUUGAUAUUGGCUUAUAGUUACAGAAACUCUCCGAGUCAAGAUUUGGUCACUUAAGAAGGGGUCAAAUAACAUCAGUCUUAAACGCUGCUUGUACAGUGCCAGAGGAUAGUCAUGAAUUACCGUAUUUUCACGACCAUUCGCCGCACCGUAUGGUUGGGCGCAGUCUAUUAAUGGGUGCUAUGUCUGUAUUUUACACAUAGACAAAACGCACUAUAUUAUUGGCCGCAGUUUUAAAGUGGUAAAACAUACGCCAGCUUAUAAACAUACGGCAUGCAUGCGCUAAAAACACAUUAGCUUGAUGCAUACGGUAGCAUGCCAAGACAUACAGAUACAAGCUAAAAACACGUUUUUAAAAAGGCAACUCAGCACAUACAAAAGACGCUCCGCAUCAUAAGGCGUCCUGUCCAUUUCGGAGAAAAUGUAAGACUUUUAAUGGCGCCUUACAGUCGUACAAAUACAAAUACUGUCAGAAUACAGUACUGUAUUUUCACUAUGGUAUGGCAUACACUAUGGUCUAGUGCAGGGGUGCCCAAACUUUUUGGACCGAAGAUCUACUUUUCGAACAACUAACCUCCCGGGAUCUACCCGUACCGGCACGCGCGCGAACACACACAUGCACGCCAUGAUGAGAAACAGCCUGAAACGGAGGCAUGCGAUGCACUUUUGCAGCCUGUUAACUAUCGUACCUCACACGUACAGUUUGAAAGUACUUCCCUGGGCCCUCCGAGAUUCCUAUUCUUUGCUCGUGCCCUCGGUGAAUUGUACACGAAGCAAACUUUGAAUGAGAAUAAUGACGAUAAAAGAUAGAGCGCAACAGCUCUGAUUACAAGCUGCAAUUGCAGACUGCUGAGCGCAAACAACUUCCAGUGACGUAAUCACGCGCCACCGUAAAUUCAAGAUUUACCUGCUUUAUUUUAUUUUUAAAACAUUUUUUGGUGAAAAUGAGACUGAUAGGAUGAUUAGGGUGCAGCAUACAUUAACACAAAACAUAUAUAUUACUAACAUGUACAACGACACACAAAUGGUUGUUUUUUUGUUUUUUUCUCCUCGACACUCCUCGGAUCUACUUGGGACCUGUCUUAGAUCUACCGGUAGAUCAGGAUCUACCUAAUGGGCACCCCUGGUCUAGUGUAUGCGCCGAGUUCCAAAGCCUGACUGAGAGCACCUCUGGCCGACACGCUUUUUAUAUAGAGAAAGGCGGAGUGAGUGAUGACAGGCAUGCGGAAGUCCGCCAAUGAGUGAAGGGUGGGCGUGUAAGAGGACGCUAAAGGCACGUCCCUAGCAGGUACCAGUCGCCAAUGAGGUGAAGAGUGGGCGUGUAAGAGGACGCUAAAGGCACGUCCCUAGCAGGUGCCAGUCGCCAAUGAGUGAAGGGUGGGCGUGUAAGAGGACGCUAAAGGCACGUCCCUAGCAGGUACCAGUCGCCAAUGAGGUGAAGAGUGGGCGUGUAAGAGGACGCUAAAGGCACGCCCCUAGCAGGUACCAGUCACGUGAGUACAUUGCAAAAUAGCGAAAUAAAGUACCACCGAACUCAGUUUUGCUUCCAUUGCCUUUUUAAAAAACGUGUUUUUAGCGCGCGUGCAUGCAUGCCGUAUGUUUAAGCUGGCGUAUGUUUUACCAUGCCUGGCUGCGCCCAAUAAUACAGUGCGUUUUGUGUAUGUGUCAAGUACAGAAAUAGCAACCCUUCCUGAGACUGCGCCCAACAAUACGCUGCGCCGAAUGGUUGUGAAAAUACGGUAAUCAUAUCUAAGAUAGACGGUCCUAUGAUGAUAAUCAUAAUAAUAAGAUAUCCUUUAUUUGUCCCACAGGAUAUCUAUUAUUUUUUUGAAAGUGCUUUUCAUCAUACGCAAAGAUAUUUUACAAAGCUUAAAACACAGGAUAAAAAUGUACACUUAAAGACAAGCAUACAAGAUUUACAAAAAACACAUUUAGAUGAACAAAAAAAAGCAAAAAUUGGUAAAAAAAAAAAAAGAUUAAAAGGUGUUAAAAGCAUUGCGGAACGGGUGAGUUUUAAGAGAUGAUUUGAAAGAUUGGAGGUCAGUACAGUUGCGAAUGUGUUGUGGUAGAGCAUUCCAGAGGGUGGGUGCGGCGACAGAGAAGGCUCGGUUCUCCCAGGUUUUGAGCUUGGUUAUGGGGAUGGCGAGGGGGUUUGUGUUUGAGGAGCGGAUGUUGCGGGAAGGAAUGUAUUGGUGAAGAAGGUCGGAAAGGUAGGAGGAGGCCUAAUUGUGAAGGGCUUUAUAGGUUAGUAGAUGGAGUUUAAACUGAAUACACUGGGGAACAGGGAGCUAGUGGAGGUUUUCAAGGACGGGGGUGAUGUGAUCACGAGUGCGGUUGUGAGGGGGGUAGACGGGCGGCGGCAUUCUGGAUGUACUGUAGUUUAUUGAGGAGUUUGGAGGUUGUAGCGUAGAGGAUGCUAUUGCAGUAGUCAAGGCGGGAGGUGAUGAAGGCGUGGAUGAUGGUUUGAGCUCCGUUGAAAGAAAGUGAAGAGCGGAGAUGAGAAAUGUUUUUGAGGUGGAAGAAAGCAGUUUUGGUGAUUUGGGUGAUGUGUUGGUUGAAAGAGAGGUUAUUAUCAAAAAGGGCAUUGAUGUUGCGACAGUGAGAGGAGGGGAACAGGGUGCAGUUGUCGAUAGUGAGGUUAAAGUUGGAGGCUGUUUGGGUGAGGGACUGAGGACUGAACAGUUGAGAUUUAGUGCAGUUGAGAGUGAGAAAGUUUGUUUUCAUCCAGGAUUUGAGAUCUGAAAGACGGUUAGACAAGGUGGAGUGGGUUGUUGGGGUAAAUGAUUUGGUGGAAGUGUACAAUUGGACGUCAUCAGCGUAGCAGUGGAACUGGAGAUCAUGAUGACAAAUGAUUUGGCCGAGGGGUAAAAGGUCGAGGAUGAAGAGAAGAGGACCAACCGCAGAACCCUGGGGUUGAUGUGUAUGAAUUGUUUCCUGUCUGUGAGAUAUGAGCGGAGCCAGAUGAAGACUUUGUCGGUGAUGUUUCGGGAUUGCAGGCAAGCGAGUAGAAUGGAGUCUUUGAUGGUGUCGAAGGCAGCUGUAAGGUCGAGAAGGAUGAGGAUGGAGAGUAGGCCGGAGUCAGAGGAGAGGAGAAGGUCAUUGGUGAUUUUGAGGAGGGCUGUUUCAGUGCUGUGUUGUGUGCGGAAUACAGAUUGAAAUUGUUCAAAGAGUUGGUUAUUCUCCAGGUAGGUUUUAAUUUGAGAUUCGACGACACAUUCUGUGAUUUUGGACAGAAAGGGGAGGUUGGAGAUGGGUCGAAAGUUGCUUAUGAGGAGUUUGUUGACUGUAGAGAAGAGAGCCUUUUGGUUUUGGAAUCAGUGUGGAUCAGGUUGUAGUAGUAGGUGGAAUGGCUGGAGUUGAGUUUUGGAUUGGAUUGGAUAAACUUUAUUGACAAAUAUACUGCAUGUGUAACAUACAGCACACAGAUGAAAUUUCUUCCCUCUCGACAUAAAACAAGAGGAGCCGCUGCGAGUGCCUGCGCCGCUAUCAAAAGAAAAGUUAAAAA